CUUGAAUCACAGGACUGAAUAAGGAAGAGCUGCCCUCAGCGUGGCCGGGCAACAUCUAAUCGGCUGAAAGCUUGGAUCGAAUGAAAAGGCAGAGGAAAGGUUCUGAAGACCUCAAAUGGACUGAGCCACACUACCAGCAUCCAGCAUCCAUGGUUCUCCAGUCUGCAGAUGGCCUAUUAUGGGACUUUUCAGUCUUCAUAAUUAUAUGAGAGAAAGAAAAUGAAAAGGAUUUGUAAACUAUAAAUCUCUAAACAGAUGGGAGGAAAGGAAUUGAUGAAACAAUAAAUUUAUUGAUGAAACAAUAAAAAUAAACAUAAAGAACCAAAGAUUGAGUUAAAGGAGCUGUGGAAUAAAAAAAACAAAAACAAAAACAAAACAAAAAAACAGGCUAAGCUAGGAAGGGAAAGGCAUUUUACCCGCUCUCUCAGCGAGUCAGCCUAAAUACCGUGAGGUGAAGGGUCAGAACACUGGGAAGUGCAGUUUCUGACGAAGAAGGAGCAGCUGCAGAGAAAGGAGUCCAUCUAGGGCCAUUUCCAUCAUGAAGAGAAUGUGGCCAAAACAUGGGGCAGAGAAUCAGGAACCCAGGUGAUGCCUCAUAUGGUGUCUUCCUUGGUGUUUGAAUUAUUUAACACAAGCUGCCUCA
rnacentral:lncRNA from 1 species